GGCUCCUUCCUCAGCGGCUCAGAGCGGCUCCCGCCCGCAGUGCGGCGGCUCUUCACUUCCUGCAUGCAGGCGUGACCAGAGCUGCUGAUCCGCCUUUAUACCGCAAUUGUUUCAGCGACUAAGGGUCCAGAUAAGAAGACAAAGAUCUUCCCGGUUCACUGACACAUCACAGAUGGCGGGAAAACUUAAAACCGGAGAAAUGAAAGAUAUCUUACGGCGAUUUAAUGAUAUAAACUCCUCGCUUGAUUGCAGCGUUUCGAAGCUUGUCCAGUCCCAGACGGAGCUGAGCAAAGCAGUUGAGACCCAAAAAUGCCUCAAUAAGAGUCUAAAACCGCUGUAUGCUGCCUUUUCACCACAUGAAGACCCGAAUUCCAUCAAUCAGCAUUAAGUAAAAUGUUCAUUUUGUUAACCUUCUUUCAGUAUAUCUGUUAAUAUCAUGCAUUACAAUUUAUCAUAUUGUACAUUCUGAUAUAUAAUUUUGAUAUAAACAUGGAUUUGGUAAAAAAUGUACUGAUACUCCUACACCAUGUGAUGGACCGGAAUCCCAUCCAACGUAAGCCCCGGGACACCAGGAUAACCGUUUGGAAGAUGGGUGAAUUGUUCUCAUUUUUGGAAUGUGUGUUGUCUGUUGUGAUCUUUACAACAACACAUGUGAUCAUUUUUGCAGUAUUGAAUGAGUGAGCACUGCAGAUGCCAAUGAGCUUUACAUUCCACAAAGAUGCCUAUAGCAUUAUUACUCCCAAUAUCGUAUACAUUCACCUUGCAUACCUGAAGGAUGUUCUAUUCUUAAUGACAUUUAUAAUUUCAAAGCAUUUUGAAUUAUCCCUGACCCACAGUAUGAUGUCAGAUCUACAAUACUGUAUUCAUGCAAGAAUUUAACUUCUCUACAUUUAUUCCAUUUAAUGACUCAUUUCCUAGUGCAGACUGCCUCCUAUUGGACUAAAAUAUGAAUUGCUAUAUACAAACCCAGUUACAGACUAAUCUCAUGCUGCUUAAAAUUUGUCUGACUUGUAAUUUCUUUUGUCAGCCCAGCUAUAAAUGACAGCCCAGCUGAUUUUUUUUGUUAGAUAAAGUCAGGUUGGUGUGUGGCUUAGUCCUCUGUGCCCUUAACUGAAAGGCUACCAAUUAAAAUUCCAUAGCUGGUA